rnacentral:RNase_P_RNA from 1 species
GUAACGCCCGGCGGGGGAGGGGGAGACCCCGAACCCCAGGGAAAGCGCCACAGAGAACAGACCGCCGGAGUAGACUCCGGCAAGGGUGAAACGGUGGGGUAAGAGCCCACCGCGCCCCCGGUAACGGGGGCGGCACGGCAAGCCCCACCGGGAGCAAGGUCAGAUAGGGACGACAGGGCGCCAAGCCCGGGACCGCCUCCGGUCCGUUGUCCGGGUAGAUCGCACGAGGCCGCGGGCGACCGCGGUCCCAGAUGAAUGGCCAUCCCCGCGCCACCCUCCGGGGCGGCGCGGGACAGAACCCGGCUUACAGGCCAUCCGCACCA